CAGUCGCCGCGGUAAUACGGAGGGUCCGAGCGUUAAUCGGAAUUACUGGGCGUAAAGCGUGCGCAGGCGGUUUGUUAAGCGAGAUGUGAAAGCCCUGGGCUCAACCUAGGAAUAGCAUUUCGAACUGGCGAACUAGAGUCUUGUAGAGGGGGGUAGAAUUCCAGGUGUAGCGGUGAAAUGCGUAGAGAUCUGGAGGAAUACCGGUGGCGAAGGCGGCCCCCUGGACAAAGACUGACGCUCAUGCACGAAAGCGUGGGGAGCAAACAGGAUUAGAUACCCCAGUAGUCCCUGUCUCUUAUAA
rnacentral:rRNA from 1 species